UACGUAGGGUGCAGGCGUUAAUCGGAAUUACUGGGCGUAAAGCGUGCGCAGGCGGUCUGCUAAGUCAGGUGUGAAAUCCCCGGGCUUAACCUGGGAACUGCGCUUGUUACUGGCAGGCUGGAGUGUGGCAGAGGGGGGUGGAAUUCCACGUGUAGCAGUGAAAUGCGUAGAGAUGUGGAGGAACACCGAUGGCGAAGGCAGCCCCCUGGGCUAACACUGACGCUCAGGCACGAAAGCGUGGGGAGCAAACAGG
rnacentral:rRNA from 1 species